rnacentral:rRNA from 1 species
UACGUAGGGACCGAGCGUUGUCCGGAAUCAUUGGGCGUAAAGAGCGUGUAGGCGGCUUGCUAAGUCUUGCGUGAAAUCUCGGGGCUCAACCCCGAGCGGUCGUGGGAAACUGGCAGGCUAGAGUGCGGGAGAGGAGAAUGGAAUUCCUGGUGUAGCGGUGAAAUGCGUAGAUAUCAGGAGGAACACCUGUGGCGAAAGCGGCUCACUGGACCAUAACUGACGCUGAUGCACGAAAGCUAGGGGAGCAAACAGG